rnacentral:rRNA from 1 species
GUGACCCCAGGUCAGGCGGGAUUACCGCUGAGUUAGCAUAUC